GACGAACGCUGGCGGCGUGCUUAACACAUGCAAGUCGAACGGUGACGAGGAGCUUGCUCCUCCGAUCAGUGGCGAACGGGUGAGUAACACGUGAGUAACCUGCCCCAGACUCUGGGAUAACAGUUGGAAACAGCUGCUAAUACCGGAUACGAGACGGAGAGGCAUCUCUACCGUCUGGAAAGUUUUUCGGUCUGGGAUGGACUCGCGGCCUAUCAGCUUGUUGGUGAGGUAAUGGCUCACCAAGGCGACGACGGGUAGCCGGCCUGAGAGGGCGACCGGCCACACUGGGACUGAGACACGGCCCAGACUCCUACGGGAGGCAGCAGUGGGGAAUAUUGCACAAUGGGCGAAAGCCUGAUGCAGCGACGCCGCGUAGGGAUGACGGCCUGGUUGUAACUCUUCUAGCAGGAGAAGCGAAAGUGACGGUACUAGCACGAAGAAGACACCGGCUAACGUACGUAGCCAGCAGCCGCGGGUAACUAAGUAAGUCGUA
rnacentral:rRNA from 1 species